UACGUAUGGAGCAAGCGUUAUCCGGAUUUAUUGGGUGUAAAGAGUUCGUAGACGGAGAGGCAAGUUGGCUGUGAAAUCCCUAGGCUUAACUUAGGAACUGCAACCAAAACUACCACUCUUGAGUACUGGAGGGGAAAGCGGAAUUCCUAGUGUAGCGGUGAAAUGCGUAGAUAUUAGGAAGAACACCGGUGGCGAAGGCGGCUUUCUGGACAGAUACUGACGUUGAGGAACGAAAGUGUGGGGAG
rnacentral:rRNA from 1 species